rnacentral:lncRNA from 1 species
GAGUAAUUAGCAUAGUAAUGAGAAUAGCUAAUUAGCCCUAGUAAUGUAAUUUGUAAGAGGCUAUAUAAGCUGGAGAAUGUAAGUAGGAGUUAUGAAAAAUUUAAUGCAAGUAUUCUUCCCCAAGCUUCUUCUUCCUCCUUCUGUUCCUACCCAUCUCCUCUCCACUCUUUCUCCCCAAUUCCCCCUAUUCUCCCCUCUAUUCCCUUCUCAAUUCCCUUGAUCGGGAACCUCUAACAUCCUGAACGCCGUCCGGCGGCGGCGCAAUUGCGAUUCAGGUGGAGGCGACCGCUCGGGUAUUACAUAAAAGUACCAAGCACUUGGUGCUUGUAAGUUUUUUACCGUUAGAUCUACUCCUCGAAUCAUUUACCAUUGGAUUAUACUAUUCAACCAACCACCCACUC